rnacentral:misc_RNA from 1 species
CGCGGCUAGGCUGAACGCUCCCUCACAUCAGCAAGGAGCCGGUCAUGGGACUGAAAGCAGGCGACGUCGUUGUUCUCAAAUCAGGCGGUCAGGCGUUGACCGUUUCCGAGGUGACCGACGAGAUGAUCGAAUGUGUCUGGAUCGGCGANGAGGAAGGCGAUCUGUUCCGCGAGAAGCUUCCGGCGUCCGUUCUCGAACUCGCUCACAUCG